AAGUCGAACGCGAAGUGGAGCAAUCCAUGAGUAGAGUGGCAAACGGGUGAGUAACGCGUGGGCGACCUACCUCAGAGUGGGGGAUAACCUUCCGAAAGGAGGGCUAAUACCGCAUGACAUACCGUGUUUGGAUACACGGAUAUCAAAGCCGGGGAUCGCAAGACCUGGCGCUUGGAGAGGGGCCCGCGUCCGAUUAGCUAGUUGGUGAGGUAACGGCUCACCAAGGCUCCGAUCGGUAUCCGGCCUGAGAGGGCGGACGGACACACUGGAACUGAGACACGGUCCAGACUCCUACGGGAGGCAGCAGUGGGGAAUUGUUCGCAAUGGGCGCAAGCCUGACGACGCAACGCCGCGUGGAGGAUGAAGACUUUCGGGUCGUAAACUCCUUUCGACCGAGAUGAAUUUCCCACGACCUAACACGUCGUGGGAGUGACAGUAUCGAGGGAAGAAGCCCCGGCUAACUCCGUGCCAGCAGCCGCGGUAAUACGGGGGGGGCAAGCGUUGUUCGGAAUUACUGGGCGUAAAGGGUUUGUAGGUGGCUUGUUAAGUCAGACGUGAAAUCCCUCAGCUUAACUGGGGAACUGCGUCUGAUACUGGUGAGCUUGAGUGCAGGAGAGGAACGCGGAAUUCCAGGUGUAGCGGUGAAAUGCGUAGAUAUCUGGAGGAA
rnacentral:rRNA from 1 species